GAUGAACGCUGGCGGCGUGCCUAAUACAUGCAAGUCGAGCGAACAGAUGAGGAGCUUGCUCCUCUGACGUUAGCGGCGGACGGGUGAGUAACACGUGGAUAACCUACCUAUAAGACUGGGAUAACUUCGGGAAACCGGAGCUAAUACCGGAUAAUAUAUUGAACCGCAUGGUUCAAUAGUGAAAGACGGUUUUGCUGUCACUUAUAGAUGGAUCCGCGCCGCAUUAGCUAGUUGGUAAGGUAACGGCUUACCAAGGCAACGAUGCGUAGCCGACCUGAGAGGGUGAUCGGCCACACUGGAACUGAGACACGGUCCAGACUCCUACGGGGGGCAGCAGUAGGGAAUCAUCCGCAAUGGGCGAAAGCCUGACGGAGCAACGCCGCGUGAGUGAUGAAGGUCUUCGGAUCGUAAAACUCUGUUAUUAGGGAAGAACAAAUGUGUAAGUAACUAUGCACGUCUUGACGGUACCUAAUCAGAAAGCCACGGCUAACUACGUG
rnacentral:rRNA from 1 species